rnacentral:rRNA from 1 species
GAUGAACGCUGGCGGCGUGCCUAAUACAUGCAAGUCGAGCGAACGGACGAGAAGCUUGCUUCUCUGAUGUUAGCGGCGGACGGGUGAGUAACACGUGGAUAACCUACCUAUAAGACUGGGAUAACUUCGGGAAACCGGAGCUAAUACCGGAUAAUAUUUUGAACCGCAUGGUUCAAAAGUGAAAGACGGUCUUGCUGUCACUUAUAGAUGGAUCCGCGCUGCAUUAGCUAGUUGGUAAGGUAACGGCUUACCAAGGCAACGAUGCAUAGCCGACCUGAGAGGGAGGGAGGCAACAGUCGAACAGCUACAUGGUCGGGACAACGACGGACGGCAGCAGGAGGGAGGAUUGAUGAAGGUACUAAAGCCUGAAAGAGCUGUGCAGAGUGAAGAAUGAAUGUCUACGUAUCUUUAAACUCUGUUACAACAAAAGAACAAAAGGCCAAGUAACACUCCGUAACAGCACCGGGGGUAAUAGGACGGAAACGCCCCGCCACAAG